CAAAUUCAGAAACUACAUUAUAAAAUAGACUAUACCAACAAGUGCCAACGCAGGAACCCACAGCUGCCGGGAGUCUAGAGUGGUUCUGGAUGCUGUGCUCUUUGAGAAGCAACAUGCCCCAUGCUUCUGGCAGCCAGGGAAUGUGGUACAGGGAAUAGCCAAAGAGACCACUGGGGUUCAAAGUCUCAAGGAUCUGGAAAGAAAUGAUUUCUUUGCUCCAAAAUCCCACUCCCAUCUCUCUUUCAUCAUCCCCAUCUGAUAAAUAUCCCACCAAAGGAAAAUACAUCUGUGCUAGGAGGCCUUCUUUGAAGAGUAAAUACUCCUGGAAGAGAAAUGUCCACUCUUGAGUGGAUCUGAAAGCCAGGGCUACCAGCAGACCACAGUGAACCGGACUGGGCCUAGUUUUCCACCAUCAGUUAGAUGUAGAGCCCAGCCCAGAGCACACGGGUUACCAUCCUCCCCUGGUAGCACCCCAGAUCAACAGCAAGGCUGGACCAGCAGGGGAACACAGUUCAACUCCAUGAGGUGACAGGGGGUGGAGCCUAACUGUCCUGGACCUAAACAUGUCCCCACUCUCCAUUCCCAGCAGGCACUGAAUUCUCACAGGGAGUCUCUCCUAGGAACUCGGUGGGGAUGCAGGGGUUGUAGUAAGCACAAGGCGUCAUGCUUUUGGAGAACUGAAAGGGUGACAUGUACACUAGGCCCUGCUAGACUGCUGCCUUCAGUCAGCCCGCUGCAGGCAUUACAGCAGUGCAGCUGGAAGCAGGCAUGAGGUAGGGCCACAGCAGAGAGGCCGGCUCUGCCAGCACGAUGAGGCGGGAGGGGGCCCCGGCCAUGGAGACUGCCUCAGGUGGUGGCCCCGGGAAAUAACCAGGGCAAGGAUGGGGAACGUGGCUCACCCACCCCACGGAACAGGCAUCAAAACCUCAGAAGAACCACAGCUCCAGCUUCCCUUCCAUCCCUUCAGAUCGAACCUGACCCAUCCCCCUGAGCUCCCAGAACAUCCAGGAUGUGGACGAAAGCUGCCUCAGGCCGCUACAGGUCCCCCAGUGGCCAGGAGCCCACCCUGCUCCUCUCCCACAGUUGCUUGGACCAGGGCCUGUGUCCCUGGGGGGACAAGAAAAGGAGCAGUUUUCCUGGCUGUUUCCACCAUUUGCUGCAGGGCCCAUGGGCACAACCCCCCCCACUCCCCGGGGAAGGAGCCCCCUCAUGAAGGCGUCCCCUGGGAGGGAGCAGCACAGCUGGCCGAUGCCCCACAGGGAGCCGUGGGGCCCCUUCUGGCCUGCCCAGGUGGCUCCCCCCGCCCAGGGGUGGUCCGGCCCCCGCACCACCUCAACUCAGCGUCGCCCCAGGCUCUGAGCCCCACCCCUCAGGCUUACCUGCCCUUGGGCAUGAUUAUUUUCAUCCUAUUUGUGCUUUUCUCCUACAAAGCCUGGCAGAGGGGUCUACACGGGCCUCUGCAGACGAGGGGCGACCGCGUCAUGCCCACUGAGCCAGACCCACAAAAUGAGGCCCCAGGCCUGUCACUGCUCAGGGCCGAAGAGAAGCAAGGAAGCAUUGCGCCCGCAGAGGAUACUGGGAUAAUCCCAACUCCCCUGAUCCGGUUCCGAGAGCUCCAAACCCCGCCUCCCCAAGACCCCCCACCUUGGCAUGCCCGUAACUGCACCAGCUUCUCCAGCUUGGUGGAGAAUGAACGGAGGGUCCCAGAGAAAGAAGACAGGACUUGCCACAGGAGAAAUCCGUGUUCAGAUCUCUGCUCUGCACUUCCCAAACUUUCUGAGCCCCACUUUCCCCACCUGAACAGCAGAGAUGAUUAAAAAAAAUUAAAUAAAUAAAUAACUGCCUUGUGGAUUUUUAAAAAAUGAGAACUGCCAUGUAUGAAGUACUAAGCCCAAUGCCUCAAACACACGCUGCUCUCCCUGAAGGGGGUAUUAACAUCUGUCACGGGCCUGCGGUUCUCUGCGGCCACUGAGUCACAGCACAGCUCGAUUUAAAGGACGUGUGUGAUCGGCUGCUGUCGACGUGCAUCGUUCAGGGACCGCAUUUCCUUCUCUCCCCCCCCAGCUCAGUGCCACACGGGCACCCCACACAUGAGGUCCAUGGGACACUUUCACGUCUCCAGUCAGCUUUGCUGAGGUCUGCGGCGCUGACGCGGUCUGCCCACCCCGCCCACUGGCUGGGCCUCUGCAUCCGGCAAAGAGGCGUGUUCAGGCUGGUGCAGGCACAUCGCAGCAUGCACCAGACCCGGCAACUUGUGAAAGUGUGUCACGUCUCAAAUCAGAGCCCCUGUCCGUGUGCUUACCCCUGCCAAUCUCAUCAAGUCCCUCGUGUCCUUGGGAGUUUAUCAAGGGACCAAAGGCAGCUCUGAGAGGAUCAAACCAUCACACCGGCUUGAGCCAGAGUUAUGCUGGGGCAAAGUUACAUCAUCCCUCCUAUGAAUUCAUCUCUGUCCACUAGGAAGCCCUCCUGGAUUCCCCCAGACAGAACGUGACGCUAAUCAUCAGGGCCAGUUCCCCAGUUCGUAUUCCACAGGGCUGAAUCCUGUCCAUCCCCUCUGUCAUCCCGAGGAGGCUGUGCGUGGUGGUCCAUGCUACACAAACACAAGUACAGUUUAGGGUAGAGACAGUCUGCAAACAUUUCCUGAGUUAUUUUAGCCCUGUGCAAUAGACACCGCUCUGUAUCCCUCCUUUCCUGAGACAACAGAAGCUGAGAGAGGCUGAGCCCUCCUACCUGGGAUCCCCUCCGCUUUCCCCCAGGAGCAAAGGGGGCCUCCAUACCAGGACACCGGGGUUCAAAGUCUUGAGGAUCUGAGAAGAAAUGGUUUCUUUGCUCCAAAAUCCUACUCUCAUCUUUCUUUCAUCAUCCCCAUCUGAUAACUAUUCCACCAAAGGGAGAUGCCACCAGGACACAUCAGGCAGCCUCUGGCCACAUUGACGACGUGAGGCUCUCAAGGACACAUCUAUGAGAUCAGUUUAUCUCAUUCUAUGAUUAUUCACUGCCCUUUCUUCUAGAUGGCGAGGUCCCUAAGGCCUGACACUGCAUCUGUCCCCUCUCACUGUGUCCAGCACUAACAGGGCAUCUACGGUAGGUUCCCAUAAAGAUCCAGGGCAAGCACACAGAGAGCUCACCUGUCCCACAGUGCCUCCCAUACUUCACUGUUCCUCCCAAUCCCCGGGGCAUCUGGUCAAAAAGCAGCCUCUGGUUCAGUAGGGCCAGGGUGAAGAGGGAGUCAAUAUUUCUAGUAAGGUCCCAGAUGAUGUCAAGGCUGCUGGAAAAGGGGUCACGUUUUAAGAGAUGAGGCAAGUAGCUGGAGGCUCCUAUAGCCAGAGCUAAUUCUCUUUUCAAAAUAAACAACUUUCAUUUUUCAUUCCUGGGCACCUGGAGUUGUCCUUUCUUUCAGCCAUGUCAUGAGACCUCCUUCC
rnacentral:lncRNA from 1 species